CCCUUAGAUGUUCUGGGCCGCACGCGUGCUACACUGAUGCAUUCAACGAGUCUAAAACCUGGUCUGAUAGGGCUGGGUAAUCUUUUGAAAGUGCAUCGUGAUUGGGAUAGAUGAUUGCAAUUCUUCAUCUUCAGCGAGGAAUGCCUAGUAAACGCAAGUCAUCAGCUUGCAUUGAUUACGUCCCUGCCCUUUGUACACACCGCCCGUCGCUCCUACCGAUUGAAUGAUCCGAUGAAUACCAUGGAUUGAGAGUACGAAUAGGUUCGCUUAUUUCUGCUGCUCGAGAAGUGGAGUAAAUCUUAUCAUUUAGAGGAAGGAGAAGUCGUAACA
rnacentral:rRNA from 1 species